rnacentral:rRNA from 1 species
AUGAACGCUAGCUACAGGCUUAACACAUGCAAGUCGAGGGGCAGCAUGAACUUAGCUUGCUAAGUUUGAUGGCGACCGGCGCACGGGUGAGUAACACGUAUCCAACCUGCCGAUGACUCGGGGAUAGCCUUUCGAAAGAAAGAUUAAUACCCGAUGGCAUAGUUCUUCCGCAUGGUAGAACUAUUAAAGAAUUUCGGUCAUCGAUGGGGAUGCGUUCCAUUAGGUUGUUGGCGGGGUAACGGCCCACCAAGCCUUCGAUGGAUAGGGGUUCUGAGAGGAAGGUCCCCCACAUUGGAACUGAGACACGGUCCAAACUCCUACGGGAGGCAGCAGUGAGGAAUAUUGGUCAAUGGACGAGAGUCUGAACCAGCCAAGUAGCGUGAAGGAUGACUGCCCUAUGGGUUGUAAACUUCUUUUAUACGGGAAUAAAGUGAGGCACGUGUGCCUUUUUGUAUGUACCGUAUGAAUAAGGAUCGGCUAACUCCGUGCCAGCAGCCGCGGUAAUACGGAGGAUCCGAGCGUUAUCCGGAUUUAUUGGGUUUAAAGGGAGCGUAGGCGGACGCUUAAGUCAGUUGUGAAAGUUUGCGGCUCAACCGUAAAAUUGCAGUUGAUACUGGGUGUCUUGAGUACAGUAGAGGCAGGCGGAAUUCGUGGUGUAGCGGUGAAAUGCUUAGAUAUCACGAAGAACUCCGAUUGCGAAGGCAGCCUGCUGGACUGUAACUGACGCUGAUGCUCGAAAGUGUGGGUAUCAAACAGGAUUAGAUACCCUGGUAGUCCACACAGUAAACGAUGAAUACUCGCUGUUUGCGAUAUACAGUAAGCGGCCAAGCGAAAGCGUUAAGUAUUCCACCUGGGGAGUACGCCGGCAACGGUGAAACUCAAAGGAAUUGACGGGGGCCCGCACAAGCGGUGGAGUAUGUGGUUUAAUUCGACGCAACGCGAAGAACCUUACCAGGGCUUGACAUCCCGGUGACCGGUGUAGAGAUACGCCUUCUUCUUCGGAAGCGCCGGUGACAGGUGGUGCAUGGUUGUCGUCAGCUCGUGUCGUGAGAUGUUGGGUUAAGUCCCGCAACGAGCGCAACCCUUAUCUUUAGUAGCCAGCGGUCCGGCCGGGCACUCUAGAGAGACUGCCAGGGAUAACCUGGAGGAAGGCGGGGAUGACGUCAAAUCAUCAUGCCCCUUAUGAGCAGGGCUACACACGUGCUACAAUGGCGUAAACAAAGGGAAGCGAGCCUGCGAGGGUGAGCAAAUCUCAAAAAUAACGUCCCAGUUCGGACUGCAGUCUGCAACUCGACUGCACGAAGCUGGAAUCGCUAGUAAUCGCAGAUCAGAAUGCUGCGGUGAAUACGUUCCCGGGUCUUGUACACACCGCCCGUCACACCAUGGGAGUCAGUAACGCCCGAAGUCAGUGACCUAACUGCAAAGAAGGAGCUGCCGAAGGCGGGACGGAUGACUGGGGUG